rnacentral:rRNA from 1 species
AUACGUAGGGGGCGAGCGUUAUCCGGAUUUAUUGGGCGUAAAGCGUGUGUAGGCGGUUUGUUAAGUCUAAGAUUAAAGCCCGAGGCUUAACCUCGGUUCGUCUUAAAAACUGGCAGACUUGAGUGCAGUAGAGGCAAGUGGAAUUUCUAGUGUAGCGGUUAAAUGCGUAGAUAUUAGAAGGAACACCAGUGGCGAAGGCGGCUUGCUGGGCUGUUACUGACGCUGAGACACGAAAGCGUGGGGGGCAAAUAGGAUUAGAUCCCCUAGUAGUCCACGCCGUAAACGAUGAGUACUAAGUGUCGGGUAACCGGUGCUGAAGUUAACACAUUAAGUACUCCGCCUGAGUAGUACGGUCGCAAGGCUGAAACUCAAAUGAAUUGACGGGG